UACGAGGGGGGCGAGCGUUGUUCGGAAUUAUUGGGCGUAAAGGGCGCGUAGGCGGUGCGGUAAGUCACCUGUGAAACCUCUAGGCUUAACCUAGAGCCUGCAGGCGAAACUGCCGUGCUGGAGUCCGGAAGAGGAGAGUGGAAUUCCCGGUGUAGCGGUGAAAUGCGCAGAUAUCGGGAAGAACACCCGUGGCGAAGGCGGCUCUCUGGGACGGUACUGACGCUGAGACGCGAAAGCGUGGGGAGCGAACAGG
rnacentral:rRNA from 1 species